rnacentral:rRNA from 1 species
GGGUCUCGCUCGUUACCUGACUUAACAGGAUGCUUCACAGUACGAACUGACGACGGCCAUGCACCACCUCUCAGCUAAUCCGGUAAAGUCUUCAGCCUGACCUUCAUAUCGCUGUCGCCCCCGGUGAGAUUUCCGGCGUUGAAUCCAAUUAAACCGCAGGCUCCACCCGUUGUAGUGCUCCCCCGCCAAUUCCUUUAAGUUUCAGCCUUGCGGCCAUACUUCCCAGGUGGCUCGCUUCACGGCUUCCCUACGGCACCAAUCACGGUCGCACCGUGACUGACACCUAGCGAGCAUCGUUUACGGCUAGGACUACCCGGGUAUCUAAUCCGGUUCGUGCCCCUAGCUUUCGUCCCUUACCGUCGGACCCGUUCUGGUGAGACGCCUUCGCCACUGGUGGUCCCUCGAGGAUCACAAGAUUUCACCCCUACCCCCAAGGUACCUCUCACCUCUCCCGGUCCCAAGCCAAACAGUAUCCCCUAGCAGCCUGACAGUUGAGCUGCCAGAUUUCCCAAGGGACUUACCUGGCCGGCUACAGACCCUUUAGACCCAAUAAUAGCGGUUACCACUCGGGCCGCCGGUGUUACCGCGGCGGCUGGCACCGGUCUUGCCCGGCCCUUGCUAACAGAUGCUUUUUAGGCAUCUGGACAGCCAACAUUAUAUGCUGGCACUCGAGAUCCCCUUAUCACGGUUUCCCGCAUUGUAAAGUUUUCGCGCCUGCUGCACCCCGUAGGGCCUGGAUUCGUGUCUCAGAAUCCAUCUCCGGGCUCUUGCUCUCACAACCUGUACCCGUCGUAGGCUAGUAGGUACGUUACACCCACUACAACCCUGAUAGGCCGCAGACCCAUCCUCGGGCGCCGGAGCUUUCGGCCACCGCGCAUUCCAGCAUCGGUGACCUAUCCGGAAUUAUUCCCAGUUUCCCAGGAUUAUGCCGGACCCAAGGGUAGGUUGUCCACGUGUUACUGAGCAGUCCGCCAUGUUCACGAAGAACAUUCAACUCGCAUGGCUUAGUCGAAUCUCGAUAGCAGUAACCUCUGGCAGGAUCAACCGGA